rnacentral:rRNA from 1 species
GGGGAAUUUUUCGCAAUGGGCGCAAGCCUGACGAAGCAACGCCGCGUGGAGGAUGAAGGCCUUCGGGUCGUAAACUCCUGUCGACCGGGACGAAAGCAGUCUGGCAGAUAACUCCAGGCUGUUGACUGUACCGGUGGAGGAAGCCACGGCUAACUCUGUGCCAGCCGCCGCGGUAAUACAGCGGUGGCAAGCGUUGUUCGGAAUUACUGGGCGUAAAGGGCGCGUAGGCGGUCCGAUAAGUCCUGUGUGAAAUCCCUCGGCUCAACUGAGGAACUGCACGGGAGACUGUCGGGCUUGAGUUCGGGAGAGGGAAGCGGAAUUCCGGGUGUAGCGGUGAAAUGCGUAGAUAUCCGGAGGAACACCGGUGGCGAAGGCGGCUUCCUGGACCGACACUGACGCUGAGGCGCGAAAGCUAGGGGAGCAAA